UGGGGAAUAUUGCACAAUGGGCGAAAGCCUGAUGCAGCCAUACCGCGUGUGUGAAGAAGGCCUUCGGGUUGUAAAGCACUUUCGUCAGGGAAGAAAGGUGCGGGGUUAAUAACUCCGUACUGUGACGGUACCUGAACAAGAAGCACCGGCUAACUCCGUGCCAGCAGCCGCGGUAAUACGGAGGGUGCAAGCGUUAAUCGGAAUCACUGGGCGUAAAGCGCGCGUAGGCGGUUUGAUCAGUCAGAUGUGAAAGCCCCGGGCUCAACCUGGGAACUGCAUUUGAAACUGUCAGACUAGAGUGUGGUAGAGGGAAGUGGAAUUCCGAGUGUAGCGGUGAAAUGCGUAGAUAUUCGGAGGAACAUCAGUGGCGAAGGCGACUUCCUGGACCAACACUGACGCUGAGGUGCGAAAGCGUGGGGAGCAAACAGG
rnacentral:rRNA from 1 species